CACUGCAGGCUCCCUGUUUAUUCCUCCUCCUCCAUUUCGACAUCGGGAGCAUGAUUGGGACGGAAGAGAAUUUGGUUGCUCGGAUGUGGUCGGAGAAGUCACGAGCAGUCAAAAGUGCACGGAGAGUGAGUCUCCGCGCGAGUCUUCAUUGUGUGCGAGUGUUUCAUCAAUGCCUCCUGGGAGGCAUUGGUUUCAUAAAACGGCAACAUGCCGCCGCGUCGCAGAACAUCUGUUGACGCCGAAGAGAGGAAACGCAAACGAGCUGAGGCUGCGCGCGCUCGACGGGCCAGUGAGAGCGUCGACGCGCGUGAGGCUCGUCUCGCCAAAGCACGCGCCAGCCACGCCAAGAAGACGGGCGAAGCUCGCGAAGCCCGUCUCGCCCAAAUGCGUGCGUAUCGUGCACGCCAGGAGCGGCGGGGCGUCGAGCAGCGUUUGGACGCCCUGGAGCGGAACAGAGUCGCCCAACACAGACGGGUGGCUGCCGAGACUUCAGAGAAAUACAACGAGCGUCUCCUACGUUGCAGGGCGGCCAAGCAGAUCCGAUGGGCUUCGAUGAGCGAAGAAGAACGAGAAGCGGAAUUGGCUCUUCGCAGAGAACUUCAAAGGACUCGACACCGUCUGAUGCCGGCGAGGGAACGUGCACAGUUGCUCGAUCGCAUGAGAGCAGCGGCUCGCGCUCGCCGAGCUGCAGCGACCAGCAAUUUAGAUCCUGCUGCACCAAGGACCGCACGGUGUGUCGUGCCCGUCUGUCACUCGAGGUCGGCACCCAGCUCCAUCCUGUACCCCUUGCCUGCUGAACCGUCCCAGCGCCAGGCUUGGAUUGACUUUGUGCGUGGGUGCCCCUGUGGUGGUGCCUGUGACUGGAACCCACCGUCCAAUGAGAUCAGCUUGGUGUGCUCACUGCACUUCAGUGUUCGCUGCUUCCGGUUCCAGAGACCACGUGGCUACAGUGUGGGCUAUAGCAAGCGUCUAAGAAGGGAUGCAGUGCCAACGCUGUACCCAAUUGAAGAGCAGUGCAGUUCAGUGCCCAAUGAGAGUUUUCCUGAUGACACUGCAGAACGUUUGGCUUCCUCUGGUGUCGAAGAUGCAGAAGGCAGGGCACGCAAUUCAUUGGCUUCCAGCCGGUCAGUUCCAGGACAAGAUAGAGAACACCAUGCAAGCGACCAGGACGCAGUGCAGAGGUUGGCGCGUCUUGCAGCAUUCGAGAUAUUCUUGCUCAAGGACAUCUCCACCCAGUGUAGCGUGGAAGUGACCUCAAAGGCUACCAGCUGUGCUGUCAGAACUGCGUCCAAGUCGGUGCAGUGCAGUGGGUGAAUGGUGUUCCUUUUCAGAGAUACUUUAAACGAAGAGCAGAAGACCUUAGCAGUGUGUGUGUGUGCAGUGCUUAAUCCACUGACCCAAGUGCCUGUGAAGUUCUGCUGCUGUGGGAAUCAAGGUUGCGGGUUUGAUUCCUGGCCGUGACAACUGCAUUCUGCUGGGGAGCACAAAGCUAGAAUGCUCGUUCACCAUGUAUAUUGCAGGCAAUAAACAGAGUUAUUGAAUGUUUAUAGAGGACAAUGGUACAGAACUUGUCCAAGAAAUGGGAAGGUGUAGUGUGAGGAACCAUAGACUGCUCAGCAGGCCUGUCUCUCUGCUCAGCAUAUGCUAGAAGUUGCAGGAGCCUGUUGGACGUGACCUUGCCGUGUAGUUGUUGGGGGGGGGGGGGGGGGGCAAAGUUUAUCGACUGCAGAUGACUGAGCAUAGUGCUGCCAAAUGGGAUGGCGCUAUAGCAGUGGCAGAUGUGCAUCAGCGUGGCCACAUGUGAUGGAAAGCCCAUAUUAUGAUGGCUGCCGUCAAAUGUGUAGGAGUUUUCAAUCACCAUGCAGCAGACGACCCGCCCGCAUCUCACAGGCGAUAGGGCCAUAUAACGAGAUUGUACGGGUCACAUGACCCAAUGUAUGGCUUGGGCCACAAAUGCCUAGAAGACGUGGCAGUGUCGCAACCAAGUUGUGUACUCCAGACACAGUGCAGAUCAUUACACCUAGUCAUUGACCAUUUAUCAUCAGGUUAUUUUGUUUCUGGCCCGCCAACACCAUUUCUUGGGGAACGCUACAAAUUUGUGACCUUCGAGUGAUGAAUGUGGAUGACCAGCACACCAAGCAUGAGCUUCACAGUGAUUGAACAUCAUAGGAUGUUUGUUUGGUAGCCCUGCAUCAUGCUGCGGGGGGAAGUUAUGGUACAUCUCGAUAUGCAUUCCUUCGUUUCACAACUCUCAUUCUCGUGGUACACCAGACACACUCAUCUUUUGUUUCUCAUUGACAAGCUUCUCACUUGACCUGGGGAUGUAUUCUGCAGUGUUGCACACGUUCCUCUAACACAGGAAUAAAAGCUAAUUCCUGAUUCCUUCCCAAUCUUGAAACGAGUUCCCAUUACAAGUUCCUUGAAUGCGAAAAGAGUGCACUCAGUUACUUUGAACAUUUGAACGUGUUGUUACAUUAGCGUUACAUUUGAUUUUUUAAAAUUAAUAUAUAGUGUUGCAUAAUCCUGAGGCGAAAUAAAGUGAGCAAUUUAAAACUCGCAUCGAACUUGGUAUAUUAUACGUAUUUGAACAUCGCCGGCAGCAGUUUAUCUGGAGAUAAAAAGAAUCAAAGGAAACGCUCCUUGACAAAUUUUUACAGGUAGCACCGGACAUACUCCAGACAUGUCUAACUGCAACU